ACCUCCCCCCAAGCAUUGCUAGCUUCACUCGUCUCCAUGGCUGAAUCUCCUCUAUUUCUUCUUCCAUUAGCACACCACACACCAGCGGCCAUCGUGGGUCGCCUUAGACCGGCGCCGCUACUGCCUCCCGUUGCUUCAACCCCUGCUCCUGCAACACCGACGUUCUGCAUCGCCGCUGCAAACCACCGUCUCCGUUUGCAAGCACAUGGGUCCAGAGGAUGCCAGGGACUGGUCACCAUCUGGGGAGCGAGGGGUCACGGCCGCCUAUGCGCGAGCGCCGGCUUGGGCUGCGAAUCCGGCGGUGCAGCGCGGGCGGCUGCUCUCUUAGCAUCUAUGCGCGCCGACGCUGCAUACCCGGGCCACCGACGAACUACCCCCGGCUGCACAACAGUGUUGUGGGGGUGGCGAGCGGCGCUGCAAAAGAUGACGCCCGGGCACCGCUGCAGUAGGGAGGGCAUCGACGCUGCACUGAUCGGCCAUGUUGUGCAACACGACAGAGCGCGGCAAGGCUGCAGUGACUGGUGUUGUUGUGCAACACGACGGAUGCUCACCGGCGACCGGCGGUGUUGCAAUGCAGUGCUCGCCGACGGGUCGUUCAAGCUCUGCCGGGGCUGCAAUGAAGUGUUGUCGAAGCUGCAAUGAAGCGCAUCGGGGUCGUUGAAUCUCCAUCGGGGUUACAAUGGAGCACCACAAGGGCUGCAAUGGAGCGUCGUCGGUGCUUCACCCCAUGUUGUGUUGCCAUGGAAGCUGUCGCUGAAGCUUUUUGCCGGUGUUUCCAAUCCCCCGGCGGCCCCGGUGCUGCGAUGCAGUGUCUCCGGAGGCACUCGCCGGCGGCCCCGGUGCUGCGCAGAUCGAAUAGAGAAGAAAGACAAGGUAGUCGGUGCUCCAGUCCUGGGAAGUAGUCGUGUGAUGGUGAAGAACAGAGAAGAAAGACGACGGCUCUGUUUGUUGCUAUCGAACGGCCACCAUCUGUCAGAUCAGAUGGCUGUCGAGUCGGAUGAUUUCCUACAGAAAUCAUCUGGUAGAUUUGUAGCAGCCGCCUACAAUAUUUUGCCUUAACACCCAGGAUCCAUCUUGAUGGAUGGCAGCGGACUGGACAAGACUUCGGUAAGAAACCAAGACGUGGAGAGCUGAGUGGUAAGACCCAACUUGUCGGCCGAUGGAAUAUGAGCCUUGGCAGUGGCAUAUCCGACAAGCCACGCCGCACGGCGUGCAUCGUGAAGGGCCGAGGUGACCCGAUAAGGAGAGAAGCAUCGCGCCGAUGUUUCUACCUCUCCUUGGUUGUCGGAGAUCCUGCCCCCGAUGAGUGCUUUGGUGUCACAAUAGAAAAGCGUGAUGCGGAGCAUCCUACGGUUAUCACCAUGGCUGCUUCAUAACAUAUCUAGUAGACCAAUGACAAAGAGCUUGUGCAAGAUCUAUUAUAAUCGAGGUACGACAACCGCCCCAUAACCAAGAGUUGAAGGAGAAGGAGCGGAAGAGGAGGAGAUGACAAGCGUCAAGAAGAAGGCUCCAAAAGAUGCCCGGGACUUCCGACCCAAACACUCAAAAACAUUGUUCGAGCAUGCAAACUCUCUGGAUAGAUGGAUAGCCCGGAACCUUCCUGGAACCUCGCCCGGAACUUCUGACCUGCCUAUGCGUAGUGACUUGGGCCGAUGCCCGUGUAUACUACUGCAGGAUCCUGCUAACGCAACACUAUAACCAGAGACCCUUCAAAUUAUGUGCGAUGCAUAAAUCGCAAAUGACGGUGUAAGAAAACCGUCAAAAAUGGCACGAAUUGUUUGCGA